UACGUAGGGGGCAAGCGUUGUCCGGAUUUACUGGGCGUAAAGCGCGCGUAGGCGGAACGUUAAGUCCGGUUUGAAAGCCCCCGGCUCAACCGGGGAGAGUGGCUGGAAACUGGCGUUCUGGAGGGCGAUAGAGGAGAGUGGAAUUCCUGGUGUAGCGGUGAAAUGCGUAGAGAUCGGGUGGAACACCAGUGGCGAAGGCGGCAUCCGUGGCCCUGACCUGACGCUGAGGCGCGAGAGCGUGGGGAGCAAACGGGG
rnacentral:rRNA from 1 species